rnacentral:rRNA from 1 species
CCCAGACUCCUACGGGAGGCAGCAGUGGGGAAUAUUGGGCAAUGGGCGCAAGCCUGACCCAGCAACGCCGCGUGAAGGAUGAAGGUUUUCGGAUUGUAAACUUCUGUCGCGAGGGACGAAGAAUGACGGUACCUCGUAAGAAAGCCCCGGCUAACUACGUGCCAGCAGCCGCGGUCAUACGUAGGAUCCGAGCAUUAUCCGGAGUGACUGGGUGUAAAGAGUUGCGUAGGUGGCAUAGUAAGUAGCUAGUGAAAUCUGGUGGCUCAACCAUUCAGACUAUUAGCUAAACUGCUAAGCUCGAGACCGUUAGGGGUAACUGGAAUUUCUAGUGUAGGAGUGAAAUCCGUAGAUAUUAGAAGGAACACCGAUAGCGUAGGCAGGUUACUGGGACGGUUCUGACACUAAGGCACGAAAGCGUAGGGAGCAAACGGGAUUAGAUACCCCCGUAAU